AGUGAACGCUGGCGGCGUGCUUAACACAUGCAAGUCGAACGAGGACGGAAUAUAGCUUGCUAUAUUUGUCAGCUAAGUGGCGCACGGGUGAGUAAUGUAUAGAUAACCUGCCCUUAAGAAAGGAAUAACAGUUGGAAACGACUGCUAAUGCCCUAUAUGCCUUUAAUACAUAAGUAUGCAAGGGAAACGCUUUAGUGCUUAAGGAUGGGUCUGUAUGGUAUCAGCUUGUUGGUGAGGUAAUGACUCACCAAGGCUAUGACGCCUAACUGGUUUGAGAGGAUGAUCAGUCACACUGGAACCGAGACACGGUCGAGACUCCUACGGGAGGAAGCAGUGGGGAAUAUUGCACAAUGGACGAAAGUCUGAUGCAGCAACGCCGCGUGGAGGAUGACACAUUUCGGUGCGUAAACUCCUUUUAUAUAGGAAGAUAAUGACGGUACUAUAUGAAUAAGCACCGGCUAACUCCGUGCCAGCAGCCGCAGUAACAC
rnacentral:rRNA from 1 species